UACGGGGGGGGCAAGCGUUGUUCGGAAUUACUGGGCGUAAAGGGCUCGUAGGCGGCCAACUAAGUCAGACGUGAAAUCCCCAGGCUUAACCUGGGAACUGCGUCUGAUACUGGAUGGCUUGAAUUCGGGAGAGGGAUGUGGAAUUCCAGGUGUAGCGGUGAAAUGCGUAGAUAUCUGGAGGAACACCGGUGGCGAAGGCGGCAUCCUGGACCGACACUGACGCUGAGGUGCGAAAGCGUGGGGAGCAAACAGG
rnacentral:rRNA from 1 species